rnacentral:sRNA from 1 species
GCUGCACUGGAAAAAGUUAAUAUUUUUCCGAAACGUGUUGAACAACUAUGCCUGACAGACAUACCACUCACAGAUCUAAGGGACACAUUUUCUCUAUAUAAAACACUUGGAUCAAAUCUUUGAAAAAUGUCGCAAAAAAGACUACGUAAAAAGUCAUGAUGAGAUAUCUUCGAGCUGUAUCUGAUGUCCGGUA